rnacentral:sRNA from 1 species
UGAUGCUACAGAAAGAGCUAGUGAUGUAAAAGGCACCUGUAAUCUAAGCCCUUGGCAGACUGUGGAGGGGAAUCAUGAGUGUGAGGCCAGCCUGAGUCAAUCCUGAGACCAUCUGAAAAAGAAAAAAAAUCUUCCAGGACUCAGAUGAACUAGGACGAUGUUGUCACCAGCAGACCUGCACCAUGAGACAGAAUUGCUGAGAAAAUAUCCUGAGAGAGGAAGGGUAAUGAGAGCGGCCCAAGAGCAGAGAGAGGCUGUGGGUUUGUGGGAGGAAGACAGAACACCAUACAUCAUUGUGACUGGAUAAUGGUCCCGUCUAACUGAGGGUCAUAGGUGAACCCCUGAAGGGGGUCGGGACCCACAGAUUGAGAACCAGUGCACUAUGACCUUCAGAACAGGAGAUGGCCUGUGGAGGGAACUUCAAAGACAACAUUUCAGGAAUCAUUUCUCGAGUCUGAAGGGACUCUUCACCUCCCGCUCUUUAGUAGCUGGAUAGGUCAGAUUGACAGAACCCAUAGGAGAUCAAAAUCAGGAGGAGGUGGGGGCUUAGAAACGACGACGGCAAAGAUUUAAAAGGCACAAGGAGCUGAUGAAGAGGCAUGAGGCAGAGCACCUUAGAGAAAGUUCAGGCAGGAUGCCCUUCUGGCCUCGUGGAGGCCAGCCAGAGUGUGUCUCAAGAGUCUUCCAUGAGAAGAUUGCUAAAGGCACACGUUCUAAACCUACACGGCCCACAUCCUAACAGCCAUGUGAAGACCUUCCUCUUGCAGAGAAGAUUUUCAUUAAAGGUUCCUUAACCCACUGCCUGUGUGGAUGGCUUGUCAACUGGAGGGCGUUCUAUUAUACCCUGCACCAUCCCUUCCCCCCAAAGACGAGACCACGAGUGAAGCUGUGUUUGGGUGUCAGCCAUUGAGCUGUGUAUCUCUCUGUUGCCCC